rnacentral:rRNA from 1 species
AGUGAACGCUGGCGGUAGGCCUAACACAUGCAAGUCGAACGGCAGCACAGUAAGAGCUUGCUCUUACGGGUGGCGAGUGGCGGACGGGUGAGGAAUACAUCGGAAUCUACUUUUUCGUGGGGGAUAACGUAGGGAAACUUACGCUAAUACCGCAUACGACCUACGGGUGAAAGCAGGGGAUCUUCGGACCUUGCGCGAUUGAAUGAGCCGAUGUCGGAUUAGCUAGUUGGCGGGGUAAAGGCCCACCAAGGUGACGAUCCGUAGCUGGUCUGAGAGGAUGAUCGCCCACACUGGAACUGAGACACGGUCAAGACUCCUACGGGAGGGAGCAGUGGGGAAUAUUGGACAAUGGGCGCAAGCCUGAUCCAGCCAUACCGCGUGGGUGAAGAAGGCCUUCGGGUUGUAAAGCCCUUUUGUUGGGAGAGAAAAGCAGCAGGUUAAUACCCCGCUGUUCUGACGGUACCCAAAGAAUAAGCACCGGCUAACUUCGUG